GUUUACUAAAAGAUUAAAUUCACCAUUUAACUAAAAGACAAAACGCACCAUUUAAACAAUCUAUUACCCUCCCCUAAAACGCAAUGCAUGGUAACGAUAAAUAAUAGAAUUUUAAAUUCUCCCAUAACAUGCUCUUCCUUCAACCCGCUUUCGGUUUCACUGGCACCCACAACCUAUCCACCCUUACCUCCAUUGCUCCACCCAUCACCAUCUCUCAAACUCACGUAAUCCCAAAUACCAACAAUCAUUUAUCAUCAAGCAACAAAAAAAACCAAGAAAUUCAAAAAAAAAAAGAAAAAGGUGACGAUUUCGCUACAAAUUUGGUAGUUUCCAAGAUGUUUCAGAAUGAUUCCAACAGUGAAGAAAGG
rnacentral:lncRNA from 1 species